CCAUAAUCAGCAACACCGAGCAGGUGCUUCAACAUCGCCCAGCCCUUCUGAGCCUACUGGAUGUGCCUUCACUUCUGCCUUCCAGUUCACUACAGGUUUCUUUUGUGGCCAACCUUGGCCUGGAAACAUAAAGCAGAAAGAAUUCUGGGAAGCACAGUUCCAGCUUAGAUAUUGUUGCUGCAGUACAAGUUGUCAAACUCAACCUUCUCCUGCGCUAGAUCUGAGAGGAUAAGGAAAU
rnacentral:lncRNA from 1 species